UACGGGGGGGGCAAGCGUUGUUCGGAAUUACUGGGCGUAAAGGGCUCGUAGGCGGCCAACUAAGUCGGACGUGAAAUCCCUCGGCUCAACCGGGGAACUGCGUCCGAUACUGGAUGGCUUGAGUUCGGGAGAGGGAUGCGGAAUUCCAGGUGUAGCGGUGAAAUGCGUAGAUAUCUGGAGGAACACCGGUGGCGAAGGCGGCAUCCUGGACCGACGCUGACGCUGAGGAGCGAAAGCCAGGGGAGCAAACGGG
rnacentral:rRNA from 1 species